UACGUAGGGGGCAAGCGUUGUCCGGAAUUAUUGGGCGUAAAGAGCGUGUAGGCGGUCCGGUAAGUCGGCUGUGAAAGCCCAGGGCUCAACCCUGGGAUGCCGGUCGAUACUGCCGGACUAGAGUUCGGAAGAGGCGAGUGGAAUUCCCGGUGUAGCGGUGAAAUGCGCAGAUAUCGGGAGGAACACCUAUGGCGAAGGCAGCUCGCUGGGACGUUACUGACGCUGAGACGCGAAAGCGUGGGGAGCAAACGGG
rnacentral:rRNA from 1 species